rnacentral:rRNA from 1 species
UACGGAGGGUGCAAGCGUUAUCCGGAUUCACUGGGUUUAAAGGGUGCGUAGGCGGGCAGGUAAGUCAGUGGUGAAAUCUUUGGGCUUAACCCGAAAACUGCCAUUGAUACUAUCUGUCUUGAAUAUUGUGGAGGUUAGCGGAAUAUGUCAUGUAGCGGUGAAAUGCUUAGAUAUGACAUAGAACACCUAUUGCGAAGGCAGCUAACUAAGCAUAUAUUGACGCUGAGGCACGAAAGCGUGGGGAUCAAACAGG